UAGGGAAUCUUCCGCAAUGGACGCAAGUCUGACGGAGCAACGCCGCGUGAGUGAAGAAGGAUUUCGGUUCGUAAAACUCUGUUGUUAGAGAAGAACAGCGCAUAGAGUAACUGUUAUGCGUGUGACGGUAUCUAAUCAGAAAGCCACGGCUAACUACGUGCCAGCAGCCGCGGUAAUACGUAGGUGGCAAGCGUUGUCCGGAUUUAUUGGGCGUAAAGCGAGCGCAGGCGGUCAAUUAAGUCUGAUGUGAAAGCCCCCGGCUCAACCGGGGAGGGUCAUUGGAAACUGGUUGACUUGAGUGCAGAAGAGGAGAGUGGAAGUCCAUGUGUAGCGGUGAAAUGCGUAGAUAUAUGGAGGAACACCAGUGGCGAAGGCGACUCUCUGGUCUGUAACUGACGCUGAGGCUCGAAAGCGUGGGUAGCAAACAGG
rnacentral:rRNA from 1 species